rnacentral:rRNA from 1 species
GACGUUGACGGGGGAGCGUUACUGGUCGUUACUAGGCGUAAAGAGUGGCUAAAUUGUUUAAGAAAUUAUGUUUAAAAUCAUAGGGAAAGCGUCGAUAAAUAUAAAAACUUAAUACUGGAGAUGUAUGGAGGUAAGCAAUAAAUGUAAUCUAGAGAUGAAAUUCGGCAAGAUUAUACGGAUUUCCGGGGGCCUCGGCGGCUUACCACGUAUUUCUGACUUCGAACCACUAAAGCGUAAACAUCGAAUAGGAUUGGAGACCCUAGUAGUUUGCGCCCUGAAUCAAUGGGUAUUAUAUGUGAAAAAUUUGUUUUUGCGUAUCAGCUUACGCGCAAAUACCUCGCCUGGGGAUUAAGUCUGCAAAGCAUAAACUUAAAGAGAUUGGCGGGAGUUUGUAUAAAUGGUGGAGCGUGUGGUUUAAUGCGAUAAUCCACGGGUAAUCUUACCAGUGUAUUUUUAAUAAUUAUCGAUAUAUUUAACUGUCUAUAACGAAAUUAUUAGAGAUGGUACUGCAUGGCUGUCGUCAGUUUGUGUUGUGAAAUGCAAUGUUUAGUCAUUUAACAAACGCAACCUUUGUGAUAAAUUUUAUGUGAAUUUUUAUUAAAGAUACUGAAUGUUCAGCUUAAUGAAAAUUUGUUUUAUUUAUUUUAUACCACAAUGUGAGCGCAUAAAAUCUAUUUUUAUCGUUAAUAGGUAGACUCAUGUUGAGGAAGCUAAGGAGAAGUCAAGUCUUUAUGGUCUAAAUAUGCUGGGCUACACACGCGCUACAAGGUCAAAAACAAUCGGUCGCUAUAAUGUAAAUUAAAGCAAAUCUGUAAAAAUUGACUUAGUCCGGAUUGCGAACUGAAACUCGUUCGUAUGAAGAUGGAAUCAUUAGUAAUCGCAAAUUAGUAUGUUGCGGUGAAUGAUAUAUCAAGCUU